CCUACUGGAGACAUCAUUGAGGAAUAUUGGCCAAUGGACGAGAGUCCGAACCCUCCCCUUCUCUUUCCUUCUUCCUUCCCUCUUUUUUUUCCCCUUCUUUUCUCUUUUAAUAAAAUGUUCCACGUGUGGGAUUUUGUAUGUACCAUAUGAAUAAGGAUCGGCUAACUCCGUGCCAGCAGCCGCGGUAAUACGGAGGAUCCGAGCGUUAUCCGGAUUUAUUGGGUUUAAUGGGAGCGUAGGUGGAUUGUUAAGUCAGUUGUGAAAGUUUGCGGCUCAACCGUAAAAUUGCAGUUGAAACUGGCAGUCUUGAGUACAGUAGAGGUGGGCGGAAUUCGUGGUGUAGCGGUGAAAUGCUUAGAUAUCACGAAGAACUCCGAUUGCGAAGGCAGUUCACUGGACUGCAACUGACACUGAGGCUCGAAAGUGUGGGUAUCAAACAGGAUUAGAUACCCGGGUAGUC
rnacentral:rRNA from 1 species